GAAAGUGGCUGCGGAGAGAAAAUCAGGUCAGGUUUGGAACAGAUCGUUCACGUGUUCCUGACAUGUUCCUCUGCAUGUUCCUGACAUGUUCCUGACAGGUUCCUGACAUGUUCCUGACAUGUUCCUGACAUGUUCCUGACAUGUUCCUGACAGGUUUCUCUGCAUGUUCCUGACAGGUUCCUGACAUGUUCCUGACAUGUUCCUGACAUGUUCCUGACAGGUUCCUCUGCAUGUUCCUGACAUGUUCCUAACCUGACGGUUUUAGUUAUUAAUUUAGUCCUAAAUCAGUCAAAACAACAACAAGGUGGAUCGAUUAUUUAAAGGUCAGAGGUGAUGAAGACGAGCUGAGCAGAGAAGAUGGACGGUUGUGCUCAAUC